UACGGAGGGUGCGAGCGUUAAUCGGAAUUACUGGGCGUAAAGCGCGCGUAGGCGGCAAGGUCAGUCGGAUGUGAAAGCCCUGGGCUUAACCUGGGAAUUGCACUCGAAACUGCCUGGCUAGAGUAUGGGAGAGGGAAGCGGAAUUUCCGGUGUAGCGGUGAAAUGCGUAGAUAUCGGAAGGAACACCAGUGGCGAAGGCGGCUUCCUGGCCCAAUACUGACGCUCAGGUGCGAAAGCGUGGGUAGCGAACAGG
rnacentral:rRNA from 1 species